GACGAACGCUGGCGGCGUGCUUAACACAUGCAAGUCGAACGGAAAGGCCCCUUUGGGGGUCCUCGAGUGGCGAACGGGUGAGUAACACGUGAGUAACCUGCCCUUGACUUAGGGAUAACUUCAGGAAACUGGGGCUAAUACCGGAUAGGAAUCCUUGCUGCAUGGUGGGGGUUGGAAAGCUUCGGCGGUUUUGGAUGGACUCGCGGCUUAUCAGCUUGUUGGUGGGGUAGUGGCUUACCAAGGCUUUGACGGGUAGCCGGCCUGAGAGGGCGACCGGCCACAUUGGGACUGAGAUACGGCCCAGACUCCUACGGGAGGCAGCAGUGGGGAAUAUUGCACAAUGGGCGGAAGCCUGAUGCAGCAACGCCGCGUGCGGGAUGACGGCCUUCGGGUUGUAAACCGCUUUCAGCAGGGGCGAAGCUUUUGUGACGGUACCUGCAGAAGAAGCACCGGCUAACUACGUG
rnacentral:rRNA from 1 species